rnacentral:lncRNA from 1 species
AUUCCAGCCACAGCAGCCCCUCAGCGUCCCCCAGUCACACCGUCCCCAUUGCUGCUUAUCUGUGCCUUUGUCCAUCUACAAUGCCCUUAUUUCACUCUGCCUGUGGGAGUCCUGUGAAUCUCUCCAAAGCCAACUCAGUUCAUCUUUCUGCUUGAAACCUUCCCUGAAUAGGCCAGGUGCGGUGGCUCACGCCUGUAAUCCCAGCACUUUGGGAGGCCAAGGCAGGCAGAUCACAAGGUCAGGAGAUGGAGACCAUCCUGGCUAACACAGUGGAACCCCGUCUCUACUAAAAAUGCAAAAAAUUAGCUGGGUGUGGUGGCGGGCGUGUGUCGUCCCAGCUACUUGUGAGGCUGAAGCAGGAGAAUGGCAUGAACCUGGGAGGUGGAGCAUGCAGCCAGCCAAGAUCAGGCUGCUGCACUCCAGCCUGGGGGACAGAGCGAGACUCUGCCUCAAAAAAAAAAAAAAAAAAAGAAAGAAAGAAACUUCCCUGAAUAUUCCAGCCCUCCUGAGCCUAGUCCCUUUUUGAGAUUUGUCCCCAUUUCUUGGACACCAUAUGAGAGACUUCAGAGGCUGAAGUGGGAGGAUUGCUUGAGCCUGGGAGGUCGAGGAUGCAGUGAGCUGUGGUCAUACCACUGCACUCUAGCCUGGGCAACAGAGCGAGACCUUGUCUCAAAAACAGCCACCACCAAAAACUAUCUUGGGAUUUGAAUAGGAUUACCUUAAAUUUGUAGAUAAAUUUGAGAAUUGACAUCUGUACGACAUUCUAGAACAUGGUAUUUCAUGUCAUGAAUUCAUUUCUUGUUAAUGUCUUUCAGAAGAGUUUUAGGGUUUCCAUCAUAUAGAUCUUACACAUCUUUUGUUAGAUAACAGAUCUUUGUAUUUUUGUUCCUAAAUACUUCAGACAUUUGUAUUGCCAUUGUAAAUGGGAUCUUUCUUCCAUUUUCUAGUUAGUUAUUGGUGGUACAUCUGAAAAGCAUUUGAGGUUUGUGUGCUGCUCUCUUGAUUUUGUUUCUAGCCACCGUACUGAAUUCUCAUAUUACUUCCAGUAAAAUCUUAGUUGAUUCUCUUAGGCUUCUUUGGCUAACAUUUAUUAUUUUAUAUGCAAAUAAUGACAGUUUUGUCUCUUCCUUUUCAAUACUUACACUCUUUCCUUCCUUUCCUUUCUUUUUUUUUUCUUUCUCAGGGCCUUGUUGUCACCCAGACUGGAGAGCAAUGGUGUGAUCUAGCUCACUGUAACCUCAAACUCCUGGGCUUAAGGGAUCCUCCUGCCUCAGCUUCCUGAGUGGCUGGGACUACAGGCAGGCAGUGAAUUUGAAAACUUUUGUUGUAGAGACAAGAUCUUGCUAUGUUGCCCAGGCUGGUUUUCCUGCCACUUUAGAGCAGGUUUCCUUUUUUUCAUACUUUUAAGAGUUUUUUAUUAGGAAUUGUCCGCUGAAUGUUAGCUAAAACAGUCAAUAAAAUGCGUUAAGUACCAGCUGCAUGCAAGACCCUAAGUUAGAUACAGUCAGCCCUCUUCAUCAGCAGGUCCACAUCUUCAGAUUCAACUAGAUAAGGCUGAAUAUUUGAAGAAAGAAACAAUAAAAAUACAAUUAGAAAGUACAGUAUAACAACUGUUGUCAUUAUACAAUAUCUAUACAUUUUAUUAGUGAUGACCUAAAGUACAUGGGACCAGGCACGGUGACUCACACUUGUAAUCCCAACACUUUGGGAGGCCAACCUGGGCAGCAUAGUGAGACCUUGUCUUUAAUAAAAAUAAAAAUAAAAAAAUUAGCUAGUGUGGUGGUAUGCACCUGUAGUCCCAGCUACUCAAGAGGCUGAGGUGGGCAGAUCACUGGAGCCCAGGAGGUUGCGGCUGCUGUGAGCUGUGAUUGUGACACUGCUCUCCAGCCUGAGUGACAGAGGGUGAUCCUGUCUCUAAGUAAGUAAAUAAAUAAAGUAUAUGGGGGGGGGUGUGUUGGUUAUAUGCAGACACUGCACCAUUAUACGUAAGGUAUUGAGCAUCCACAGAUUCUGGUAUGGUGUGGGGGCGAUAUCCUAGAACCAGUCCUCUGCAAGGUAGCAAGGAUGACUGAACUGUGGAAGAAUCAAAGCACUGUUAAACAGCAUACAAUUCCUGUCUUCAAAAAAGUUAUCUCAUCGGGUAGAUGAGACUUAAAAUGAAUAAAAGGAAUGAAUACAC